rnacentral:rRNA from 1 species
UACGAAGGGGGCGAGCGUUGUUCGGAUUUACUGGGCGUAAAGGGCGCGCAGGCGGCUCAUUUUGUCAGGCGUGAAAGCCCGGGCUUAACCUGGGAACUGCGUUUGAUACGGAUGGGCUAGAGUUCGGGAGAGGAGAGUGGAAUUCCCAGUGUAGAGGUGAAAUUCGUAGAUAUUGGGAAGAACACCGGUGGCGAAGGCGGCUCUCUGGACCGAGACUGACGCUGAGGCGCGAAAGCGUGGGGAGCAAACAGG